CUUUAGGUGUCCUAGAGGUGUAGAAGCCUCUAAGGGUAGGUCUGUUCGCCCUUUAAAAUCUAACAUGAGCUGAGUUCAGAACGGCGUGAGCUAGUUCAGUUUCUAUCCUCUUUUAAAAAUAAGCUAAUUUUGUACGAAAGGACUUUUUCGCUAAAGUAAUGCUUUGGCCCAGCCCUAUAAUUACACAAAUAUUGGUAUAUGACGAGCUGAUCAACUCAUAAAAAGGGCUG
rnacentral:rRNA from 1 species